rnacentral:sRNA from 12 species
GCUGCGUAAAUGCUUCUUAGCCCAAGAGAGCUAGUACCAUCCCUGCGUUGGCAUACAUCUCAUAAUAGAACGAUAUAGUAAAGUGGAUUGUAACCCCUUGAGAAUAUGAAAAUAUUUAAGAGAGAAAUCCAAUAGUUAUAUCGCAAUGGUUAGCCGUAUGACCAUAGGAGAGUUACCUGAAACAUGAUGGAAUAUUGUAGAAUUCAUUAGCGUUCACAUUAUUUUUUUACGGUUAU